rnacentral:rRNA from 1 species
UACGUAGGGACCGAGCGUUGUCCGGAAUCAUUGGGCGUAAAGAGCGUGUAGGCGGCUUGUUAAGUCUUGCGUGAAAUCUCGGGGCUCAACCCCGAGCGGUCGUGAGAAACUGGCAGGCUAGAGUGCGGGAGAGGAGAGUGGAAUUCCUGGUGUAGCGGUGAAAUGCGCAGAUAUCAGGAAGAACACCCGUGGCGAAGGCGGCUCUCUGGAACGCAACUGACGCUGAGACGCGAAAAGCGUGGGGAGCAAACAGG